UACGGGGGGAGCAAGCGUUGUCCGGAUUUAUUGGGCGUAAAGAGCGUGUAGGCGGCCAGGUAGGUCAGCUGUGAAAACUCGAGGCUCAACCUCGAGACGUCGGUUGAAACCAUCUGGCUAGAGUCCGGAAGAGGAGAGUGGAAUUCCUGGUGUAGCGGUAGAAUGCGCAGAUAUCAGGAAGAACACCCGUGGCGAAGGCGGCUCUCUGGGACGGUACUGACGCUGAGACGCGAAAGCGUGGGGAGCGAACAGG
rnacentral:rRNA from 1 species